rnacentral:tRNA from 1 species
GUAUGUAGGUCAGUGGUAAAGCGUUUGUCUAGCACUAGCAUGCUUCAGGUUUUGGGAUCAAUUCCCAGCAUCACA